GGGAACUGAAUUUGACACCCCUACCUUAAGAGGAAGGUGAAAGAGGAAAGGUUAGGAGCUUGAGAUGUGAACGAUCGAGCAGGGUGAGACACGGCCAAUCAACCCAGCAUGUGCACAAACACAGCAUCCUAAAUAAGAACAGAAACUCCACUCCAAUGCAAGCAUGCAGGGAUGCAGAGCUGUUUGGACUCUCCUUUUGACGGCACCCAUUCACUGUGGAGGAUCCAUUGGUGAUCAAGUCACGGAAUGCUAUAUUUC